GUGGCUGUAGCUCAGUCGGUAGUAGCACCUGAUUGUGGUUCAGGAGGUCGCGAGUUCAAGUCUCGUCAGCCACC
rnacentral:tRNA from 2 species